CCUACGGGAGGCAGCAGUGAGGAAUAUUGGACAAUGGACGCAAGUCUGAACCAGCCAUGCCGCGUGCAGGAAGACGGCUCUAUGAGUUGUAAACUGCUUUUGUACGAGGGUAAACGCAGAUACGCGUAUCUGUCUGAAAGUAUCGUACGAAUAAGGAUCGGCUAACUCCGUGCCAGCAGCCGCGGUAAUACGGAGGAUUCAAGCGUUAUCCGGAUUUAUUGGGUUUAAAGGGUGCGUAGGCGGUCGGAUAAGUUAGAGGUGAAAUCCCGAGGCUCAACUUCGGAAUUGCCUCUGAUACUGUUCGGCUAGAGAGUAGGUGCGGUAGGCGGAAUGUAUGGUGUAGCAGUGAAAUGCUUAGAGAUCAUACAGAACACCGAUUGCGAAGGCAGCUUACCAAGCUACUUCUGACGUUGAGGCACGAAAGCGUGGGGAGCAAACAGGAUUAGAUACCCGGGUAGUC
rnacentral:rRNA from 1 species